rnacentral:rRNA from 1 species
GGGGGAAAGAUUUAUCGGUAAGGGAUCGGCCCGCGUUGGAUUAGCUAGUUGGUGGGGUAAAGGCCUACCAAGGCGACGAUCCAUAGCUGGUCUGAGAGGAUGAUCAGCCACAUUGGGACUGAGACACGGCCCAAACUCCUACGGGAGGCAGCAGUGGGGAAUAUUGGACAAUGGGCGCAAGCCUGAUCCAGCCAUGCCGCGUGAGUGAUGAAGGCCCUAGGGUUGUAAAGCUCUUUCACCGGAGAAGAUAAUGACGGUAUCCGGAGAAGAAGCCCCGGCUAACUUCGUGCCAGCAGCCGCGGUAAUACGAAGGGGGCUAGCGUUGUUCGGAAUUACUGGGCGUAAAGCGCACGUAGGCGGACAUUUAAGUCAGGGGUGAAAUCCCAGAGCUCAACUCUGGAACUGCCUUUGAUACUGGGUGUCUGGAGUAUGGAAGAGGUGAGUGGAAUUCCGAGUGUAGAGGUGAAAUUCGUAGAUAGUCUGAGGAACACCACUGGCGAAGGCGGCUCACUGGUGCAUUACUGACGCUGAGGUGGCGAAAGCGUGCGGAGCAAACAGGAUUAGAUACCCUGCUAGUCCUCGCCGUACACAAUGAAAGUUAGCCGCCCGGCAGUACACUGUCCUGUGGGGGCGGCUCACCAUAUAUACAUUAAGUUUUGGGGAGUCCGGUGGCAGUACUACAACUC